rnacentral:rRNA from 1 species
CUGCUCAAUGAAAAAUUUUAAAUAGCUGCAGUAUAUUUAACUGUACAAAGGUAGCAUAAUAAUUAGUUUUUUAAUUAAAAACUAGAAUGAAAGAUUUAAUGAAAUUUAAACUGAAACAAAUUUAAAUAAUAAAUUUUUUUUUUAAGACAAAAAAUUUAAAUAAUUUUUUAAAGACGAGAAGACCCUAUAGAAUUUAAAUAAUUUUUGGUAAGGAUUAAUAUUUAAUUAUUAUUUUAAUUGGGGAAAUUUUAAAUUUUUAAAAACUUUUAAUUAAAAAAACAUCAUUUUUGGGUAAUUAAUUUUUUUUUAAAAAAAUAAAUUAAAUUACCUUAGGGAUAACAGCAUAAUUUUUUUUAAAAGUUCAUAUUUAUAAAAAAGUUUAUGACCUCGAUGUUGAAUUAAGAU